UUUCUAGAAAAGAUUGGUGUUCCCAACGUGAUGUUCCUCUACUCUGCCAUGAGCUUUGUUCUCUUGGUGUUUGUCAUCCUCUGUAUCCCUGAGACCAAAGGUCGCACGCUAGAGGAGAUAUCUAAAGAACUGGCGAAGAAGAAGCCUUUUGAGGUGAGGCUCUAUAGACAGGUUCAGCCUCAGGAGAGCCUGAUCAGCAGCAUGUCCGCAGAGAGUCCAGCAAACGUCUGACCCUUUUAACAGACCACAACUGUACACCUCAGCUGAAGGAGCAGGAACGAGCACAAUAAAUUAGCAAUUAAGAAUUUUGGGUACAACUUCUACAUCUCACCCACAUGUGUACAUCCCUGCAGAUCCAGCUGAUUCCUAUAAUACUGUCUCUGUCAUAUAGUUGGUUUUAGCUAUACACUGUAUGUGAAGGAUGAAAACAACAGGAAAGGUCAAGUAUUAAAAAAUGGAGAGGUAUUUGUGAUUUUGCCCAAAUUGGGAUAGUUCAGGGUUUGCUCUUGCUGGUUAAAGGGAAGUAAAGAAAGGUCAACAAUGGGGAUUGAAAAUGUGAUUAUAUAAAAAAUAUAUAUUUAUUUAAUUCCUUGCUUCUUUACCCCUUCUAUAUUUAAGAAUACAACUAAAGCAGAAAGGAACAUGUUCUCUUAACUCCAGUAUAAAAUUGACUCCCCACCAGCCAGUAAAACCAAUGACGCCCCUUGAAUGACCACUACAUUCUUUUCCAUUUUGACCUGACAUUGUGAUGAACAUUUACAAAAAAUUCUGUCUUGGGUGAUCACGGGGAAAUCAACGAUGAACUAGAAAACAGAAAAAUCCACCUAAUCACUUCAAAUGUUUCAUUGUUUAAUGUAAACACUAAUACGGCUCAAACCAGACGCACCAGUCAUACCAGUUUUGGCACACUAUAAUCGACAUGGUGACAAAAACUAUGGACGGUCACAGUUGUCUCCUCCUUUGCAUUUUAUGGGAACAAGCCAACAAGAAAAUGAUACUGAAUCAACAUUCAGCUGCAGUGUGCUUGAUUGCUGAAUCCUCAAAAACAAGCAAUGAAGCAAAAAAGCUCAACUCGAGGUCUACUGGUAAUGUUGGGUAGAUAAUAUAACAAAUAGUAAUGUUGUAGUGUAAGAAGAAGUAUGAAAAGUGAUGUUUGUUUUUUUUUUUUACUUAUGUCAGUAAUGCCAAAAUUAUACUUAGUUGAUUAAUAAGUGGGAUGUUUUACUGCAAGAAAGAAUGGGUUAUGUGGACCUGUUCACAAUUAAAAUUGCGCAUUAAUUUCUAAAUCUGUACUUAAAUACAUAUCCUUAUCUUUUUUGUCAAGUUAGAAAAUUUAGAAAUAAAUUUGAAAAAGUCGCACUAAAAGUCUUGAGAACCAUUUUAUGGGCUAUUCCAUAGAAACUGCUCCACUCCACCUGUAAUCAAGACCUGCACAUACGAAAAUGAAGGACACAAUGAAAAUGAGAGUGAGACACACAUUAAACAGUAGUCCUGUGGUGGCCUUGUUUACCAUUAACCUUUAUUUUUAUACAAAAUACAAAAUUCUGAACAAGCGUCACAAAUCUUCAGUUGACACUGAUUCAAAAAAUCCAACAACUUGAGACAACGCGCCUACGUUUUCGCCAAAAUUUUUUCAUCAGAUGCCUUUAUUAUAUACAUACGUAUACCACAUUGCCUCUCACUAGGUUUUCAGUUCACACUUAAAAACUUUACCUCUCACCAUUGUUUUUUGUUAUUUAAGAGAACGGUAUUCUAUGUUUGUUAUUCGGACAAUUCAGGUACUGGCUACUGUUGUAAGCAUGGCCUCUCUGAACACUGUUCAUGGUCUUGUGUUGCUUCAAAAUCUCACAUGGAUGUAUUGCCAAACCUCUUGCUGGCUGACAGUACUAAGCUGACUGCCAGACAACGUUGCACUGCUGUAACUUAGUGGCUGCUUUUGUAAUUAUUUAGUUAUUUACUUACAAUUACAAUCUACUUUCUCCAUGA